GACGAACGCUGGCGGCGUGCUUAACACAUGCAAGUCGAACGGUUGUAGCAAUACAGCAGUGGCAGACGGGUGAGUAACACGUGGGAACCUUCCUAGGGGUACGGAACAACUCAGGGAAACUUGAGCUAAUACCGUAUACGUCCGUGAGGAGAAAGAUUUAUCGCCCUUAGACGGGCCCGCGUCGGAUUAGCUAGUUGGUGGGGUAACGGCCUACCAAGGCGACGAUCCGUAGCUGAUCUUAGAGGAUGAUCAGCCACACUGGGACUGAGACACGGCCCAGACUCCUACGGGAGGCAGCAGUGGGGAAUCUUGGACAAUGGGCGCAAGCCUGAUCCAGCCAUGCCGCGUGAGUGAAGAAGGUCUACGGAUUGUAAAGCUCUUUUGCCAGGGACGAUAAUGACGGUACCUGGAGAAUAAGCCCCGGCAAACUUCGUGCCAGCCGCCGCAGUAA
rnacentral:rRNA from 1 species